ACGUCACGGCGGGCGCCUCCGGUAACAUCACGGCGCACGGAGACGGGCCUCCGGCGACGUCACAGAGGCGAGCCUUACGCGACUUCACACGAAGGUGUGUUGCCUAGGAGCUGUGUUGUCUUGUCCCCAGAGCAGAGUCCGGUAACCUCCAUCUUCUGCUGCAUCCUCUGUGCUGCUGGCUGGAGAAGGAUGGAGUCUGUUUUGUUUUGUUUUUGUUUUCUUGAGAUGGAGUCUCGCUGUUGUAGCCCAGGCUGGAGUGCAGUGGCAUGAUCUUGGCUCAUCCUGUAUCAUACCCACAGAGACCCUUUUUUUCUCCAGGGCCUGGGAAGCAGCCAGUUUCCAUGAGUUAAAUGCAGAUCUGAACCAUACCGAGCUGGAAUUAAAGUACACACCCUCCUCUUCUGAAAAGUAGCUAAGGAUUCCAACUUGGUGUAGUGGAGAGUGUGGCAGAGCCAGACCAGACAAGGACUGAUCACCUGGAAAAGCAUGUUGUCAAAGGCCUUGGCCAGAAUUCUAAAGUCAGUCCCACUGACUCAAGGUGGGAGCAGGGCAGGUACCUUCCCAGGCUCUGAAGGAGAAUGAGUUUCUGGCCCUGGAGGCUUCCUGGAAUCCUCAGCUUGUGCUGCCCUUCUUGAAUGACUGGAGGUACCUGCUUCCAUCACUACACUUCCCAUCGCUCUCCAUCACCUGCUCUGCUCUGGUAAGGAUCUGGGCUGGCUGCAGUCUUCGUUCCCUGCAACAUUUGUCUCCUGGGUUCGAGUGAUUCUUCUACCUCAGCCUCCUGAGUACCUGGGACUACAGGUGCCUGCCACCAUGUCUGAGAAAUGCAAUCAUGGUAUCGCUGAUCUAUGUAAACACAUUGAAGAACUAUCUGAAAGAAAAUAUGAGUCUUGCUCUUUCACUCAGGCUGGAGCGCAGUGGUGUGAUCUCAGCUGACCAAAACCUCCACUUCUCAGGUUGAAUUUAUCCUCUUGCCUCAGCCUCCCUAGUAGCUAGGACUACAGAGAUUUGGUUUUGCCAUGUUGGCCAGCCUGGUCUCCAAUUCCUGACCUCAGGCGAUUCACCUGCCUUGGCCUCCCAAGUGCUAGGAUUACAGAGCAAAGGAAGAAUGGUGUACCAGAAUCAUCAAAUUAAGAAAGACAGUAGAUGAGCUUUUCCGCAAAAAACAUUGGAUCUUUGAAGAUCUUUUUUAAGACCAAAACUCUGAAGCACGUUCAAAUGAUUUGUAUUUAGAAGGACUACCGGAAAACAUUUCUUUCAGAAGUCUCUUGUGAUGUGGAAUUCCGAGGCUGGAAAACAUCAGACAUGAACUUAUUAAUUCUACACGUGAGGAUUUACAACUUGAUAAACCAGCUUCAGGAGGCUGGAGUGCAAUGGUGCGAUCUUGGCUCAUGACAACCUCCGCCUCCUGGGUUCCAACAAUUCUCCUGCCUCAGCCUCCCGAGUAGCUGGGAUAACAGAGUCUUGCUCUGUCACCCAGGGUGGAGGGCAGUGGCAUGAUCUCAGCUCACUGCAAUGUCCACCGCUCAGGUUCAAGCGAUCCUCCUGCCUCAGUGUCCGUAGUAGUUGGGACUACAGGUAAGUGCCACCAUGCUGGGCUAAUUUUUGUAUUUUUAGUAGAGCUAGGAUUUCACCAUGUUGGCCAGGCUGGUCUCGAACUCCUGACCUCAGGUGAUCCACCCACCUAGGCCUUGCAAAGUGCUGGGGUUAUAGGUUUGAGCCUGUUCAAUGACUAGCUCUUGAAUUUUAUUUUUUUUUUGAGAUGUAAUUUCGCUUUUGUUGCCCAGGCUGGUGUGCAAUGGCUUGAUCUCAGCUCACCACAACCUCCUCCUUUUGGGUUCAAGCAAUUCUCCUGCCUCAGUCUGUCAUGUAGCUGGGAUUACAGGUGUACACCACCAUGUCUAGCUAAUUUUUUUUUUUUUCUUUUAAGUAAAGACGGGAUUUUUCCAUGUUGGUUAGGCUGGUCUCGAACUCCAGACCUCAGGUGAUCUGACCACCUUGGCCUCCCAAAGUGCUGGGAUUACAAGUAUCAGCCACAGUGCCCAUCCCAGCUCUUGACGUUUUAUAGAUGUUGUAUUAUUUCAGUCUUGAGUAAAUAAAUGCUAGCUGAGAUGUUGCAGUUCAGGAGAAUCUUCUGUUUUUAUUAGUUAAAAAAUUAUCUUUAUAAGUCCAAUAAGGUUACACUAAUGUUUAUGUUUUGAAAAUAUUACAUUUUCCAUUUAGUACUGUAUAUAUUAAAUAACAUUAGCCAGUAUGUUCCUCUGGCCUUAUAAUUUGGUUCAGACUGUUGUAGAAAGUCUGGGUGUAUCUACAUUGGCUUUAAUAAUGGGAUUAUUUCUUUCUUUUUCUUUCUCUAUUUUAUUUAAUUUUUUUUGAGCUGGAAUUUCCCUGUUGUCCCCAUGCUAGAGUGCAAUGGCAUCAUCUUGGCUCACUGUAACAUCUACCUCCUGGGUUCAAGUGAUUCUCCUGCCCCAGCUUCCCGAGUAGCUGGGAUUGCAGGCACCUGGCUCCACACAUAGGUAGUUUUUGUCUUUUUAGUAGAGAUGGGUUUUCCCAUGUUGGCAAGGAUGGUCUUGAACUACUGAUCUCAUGUGAUUCACUGACCUCAGCCUCCCAAAGUGCUGGAUUACAGGUGUGAGUCACCGCAUUCAGCUGUAAUGGCAUAUUUUACUGUAGACUUUGAUAAUCAGAAUAUUAGCAUUUUGGAGGUUCUUUUUAUUUUUUUCAUACUAUUUUUUGGACUCAAAUACAAUAAUAGAAGUAAAGAACAAAUUAUAAAAGUUAAAGAGCAAUGCAGGGCAUGCUGGCUCAUGCCUGUAAUUCUAGCACUUUGGGAGGCCAAGGCGGGUGGAUCAUGAGGACAGGAGAUCAAGAUCAUUUUAGCCAAUACGGUGAAACACCGUCUCCAUUGUCUGUACAAAAAUUAGCUGGGCAUGGUGGCAGGCACCUGUAGUCCCAAAUACUCAGGAGGCUGAGGCAGGAGAAUUGUUUGAACAUGGGAGAUGGAGGUUGCAGUGAGCUGAGAUUGUGCCAUUGCACUCCCACCUGGCAGCAGAGCAAGACUUCAUUAAAAAAAAAAAAUUAAAGAGCAAUACAGAUUGAAUAAUUAUUCUUUUCUUCUGGUAUUUAAAUGAUAUCUCUUUUUUUUUUUUUUCAGUUACAGCUCAAGCUGUAAAAGCCAAAGGUCCAGGAUGAUCUUGUACUUUUAUUCCAGUCUCAUGUGGAAGAUCUUAAUGUAGAAGGACUUCCCAAAGGAUUUUUUUUUUUUUUCUGAGACAAAGCUUUCACUCUUGUCACCCAGCCUGGAGUGCAGUGGCAUGAUCUCGACUGACUGCAGUCUCUUCCUCCUGGGUUCAAGCAAUUCUCCUUCCUCAGCCUCCUUAUUGGCCAUGCUGGUCUCAAAAUCCUGAGUUUGUGAUUUACCUGCCUCGGUCUGUGAAAGUGUUGGGAUUACAGGCAUGAGCCAUUGUACUCAGCCUACUUUACAUAUUUUUAUCUUUCACUUUUAAAUUUUUCUGGGUCCAACACUAAGUCAGUCAUGCCAGUGUUAGCUUUUGAAACAUGAACACUGCCCACAUCUGACUGGUAUGCAACUGACAUUUUCUUUUAGAGUUCUGAUUGGCUUCAUCUGAGGGGGUGUCUGUGAUGUCACAAGGGUGGGUUUUCAGGGAAGUCACAAGGACAGUACAAGGCCUGGAGAUGUGUCAUCUUCUUCUCAGAGUGAAGCCUGGUAACUGCAGUGUCUCAGCUGGGUCCUGUGUGUUGCUGGAUAGAAAAGGGAAGUUGACAAACUCUGACCCGGUACAGUGUUUAUGUAGGUCAAAAAUAGAAAACUGUAUCCAGGUGUGGCUGAGGUAGGAGGAAUCCCUACAGUCCAGGAGUUUAGGAACAUCCUGGGCAACAUGGUGUGACCCUGUAUCUUUAGUCCCACCUCAGCCUCCCAGCUACUUGAACCCCAGGGUUCAAGGCUGCAAUGAGCUAUGAUCCUACCACAGAACUCCAACCUGUGAGACUGAGGUAAACCCUGCCUAAAAGAACAAAAAGAAAACUCUCCAAGUGUGCAAGAGUAGUAGACUGCUUAAAGAAAACAUGAGGCUCCCUGAGCCCUGUAAUCCCAGCGCUUUUAGGGCAGAGGCGGGAGGAUGGCUUGGGCUUAGGAGUUUGAGACCAGCCUGGGCAACAUGAUGAAACCCUGUCUCUACAAAAGAUAUAAAAAUUAGCCAGGUGCGGUGCACACCUGGCUUAAGUUUUGUAGAGAUGAGGGGUGGUCUAGCUAUGUUAGAAUAUAAUCAGAUAUCUUAUUAUCAGGCCGGUCUUGAACUUUUAGGUUGAAGCAACCUUCUGACCUUGUCUUUCAAGGUUGUUGGGAUUACAGGCGUGAGCCACUGCCCCCACCUGGGUUAGGCCAUUUAAUAACAUAAGAAAGUGCUCGGGCAGCUCAGUGGCUCAUCCCUCUAAUCCCAGUACUUUGGGAGACUGAGAUGAGCGGAUCACCUGAGGUCAGGGGAUCGAUACGAGCCUGGCCAGAAUGGUGAAACUCUGUCUCUACAAAAAAUACAAAACUUAGCUGGGGGUGGUGGUAGGCUCCUGUAUUUCAGCUACUCAGCAGGCUGAGGCAGGAGAAUUUUUUGAACCUGGGAAAUGGAGCUUGCAGUGAGCCGAGAUCGAGCCACUGUACUUCAGCCUGGGUGACAAGAGUGAAACUCUGUUUCAAGAAAAGAAAGUUAAAGAGCAAUACAGAUUCAAUAAUUAUUCUUUGCUGCAAAUUGUGUUUAAAUGAUAUCCCUCUUCCUUUUUGUCCUCAUACCUCAAGGUGUAAAAGCCAAAGGUCCGGUGAUGAUUCCAUACCCUUUUUUCCAGUGUCAUGUUGAAGAUCUCUAUGAAGAAAGCCUUCCCAAAGGAAUUUGUUUUUCUUUUUCUUGAGACAGUUUUCACUCUUGUCCCCCAGGUCGGAGUGCUAUGGUGUGAUUUUGGCUCACUGGCUCUUGGGUUCAGGCAGUUUUCCUGCCUCACAGCUGCCCACCACCAUACAAGACUAAUUUUUGUAUUAUUAGUAGAGAAGGGAUUUUUCUAUGUUGGCCAGGCUGGUCUUGAACUCCUGACCUCUGGUGACACUAGGUGGAAUAAGGGGGAUGGGUGUGAUUGGGGCAGCCUUUAUGAUAUGCGAUGGGCACAUUCUGUAGUUGACUUCACCUCUUUCUAAAACUUCCACUUUUUACUCAGCUCUGACAAUUGGUUCUUUUUUUAUUUUAUAGAAAGCUUGUUAGAAUUAGGUUUAUAUAGUUUCUUGUUGAAUUGACAGAAUAAUUUUAUUUAACAUCAUUCUUUAGUGUGACUGAAAGCCUCUAAGUUUUUACCGUUGUUUGUUUAUGGGCAUAUUUCUUUUUACAGAUAUGAUAACUAUUUCAUUUUGUGUGUUUCUUAUUCCAAAGAGUUCCUAUACUAGAUCCUUUCAGAUUGGGUGCUAAUAACAUGAAGUAAGAAUUUAAUACAAAUCUUAGAUGUUAGAGGCAAGCCAAUCUAAGAACAAAGAAAUUAAUUUCUUUCAAGUUGAGGUGUGGAGGUAGAGGAGGCAAUUGGAUAAAUGAGUCCAGAAGUAAGGAGAAAAAUCUGGCAGUCGAUGUAAUUUUGGAUUUUGUAGUAGUGUUGUGAUAGCACUUGUUGAUAUCACCAAAAUAAUUCAUCAAUGAGCUUCCUCACAGCUCCCCAUUUCUUUUUAAAGAAACCAGGUCUCUUUAUGUUGUCUGGGUGUGACUAGAACUUUUGGGCUCAUGUUAUCCUUCUGACUGAGUGUCCUAAGAGGCUGGGGCUACAGGCAUGUGUUACCAUGCCCAGCUUAUAACCACUCCCAGCCAUCAGGUUGCAAAAUAUUUAAAUUUACAUACAAAGGUGCAAGGGAGAUCUCUAUAUAAAUAGCACCAUGUCAAUUGCUAGAAUCUUUCUUUUUAGAAUUCUGUUUGGAUGUGGAUUCAGAGCAGGGAAUAGUAAAUUAAUUUUUACUUUAUUUUUGUUUUUGUUUUUGUUUUAAGCAGAUUCUCACUCUGUUGCCGAGGCUGGAGUCUAGUGGCAUGAUCUUGGCUCACUGUAGCCUCUUCCUGCUGGGCGCAAGUGAUUUUCUUGCCUCAGCCUCCUGAGUAGCUGGGAUUACAGGUUCCUGUCACCACAUUUGGCUAAUUUUUUGUGUGUGUAUUUUUGGUAGAAAUAGUUUCACCAUGUUGGUCUCUUAACUCCUGACCCAACUGAUCCACCUGCCUCGGCCUCCCAAAGUGCUGGAAUUAUAGGAGUGAGUCGCUGCUCCUGACCAUUUUUUUUUUAACAUUUUUAAAUUAGAGUUUUUAUACCUAUUCAAAAGUAGAGAAAAUAGUACAAUAAACACUAAAAUACCCAUUCCUCAAUUUCUGUGAUCAUUAAGAUUGUCCACAUUUUGUUCUGCUAUUCUUUUACCUCCCUUUGCAGGAAUAUUAUAAAGCAAAUCGCAGUCAUCACAUUAUUUUAUCUGUUCAGUGUGCAUUCCUGAACAGCCACUCUCUCAUCAUAUCUGACAAAUUUAGCAGUGAUUCUUUGGUGUCAGCUCAUAUGUAGCCCUUAGUUGAGUUUCCUUACUCUUAUCUGAAUAGUAUCACAUUUCCUCAUUAUCUGAAAAAAAUUUGUUUUAAAUCUGGCUUUAAACAGUCUUUAUGUGUUAACUUUGGUUGUUAUGCCUCUUUUAAUCUAAAUCAGCCUCUGCUUACUAUUUUUAAUUCCCAUUUCAUGAGUUCUUUGUGGAAAGUUAAUUCUCAUUAAAUAGCAUGCUCACGAUAUUGAAGG